AUUGAACGCUGGCGGCAGGCCUAACACAUGCAGGUCGAGCGGUAGCACAGAGAGCUUGCUCUCGGGUGACGAGCGGCGGACGGGUGAGUAAUGUCUGGGAAACUGCCUGAUGGAGGGGGAUAACUACUGGAAACGGUAGCUAAUACCGCAUAACGUCGCAAGACCAAAGUGGGGGACCUUCGGGCCUCAUGCCAUCAGUGGUGACCAGAUGGGAUUAGCUAGUAGGUGGGGUAACGGCUCACCUAGGCGUCGAUCCCUAGCUGGUCUGAGAGGAUGACCAGCCACACUGGAACUGAGACACGGUCCAGACUCCUACGGGAGGCAGCAGUGGGGAAUAUUGCACAAUGGGCGCAAGCCUGAUGCAGCCAUGCCGCGUGUGUGAAGAAGGCCUUCGGGUUGUAAAGCACUUUCAGCGGGGAGGAAGGCGGUGAGGUUAAUAACCUUGUCGAUUGACGUUACCCGCAGAAGAAGCACCGGCUAACUCCGUGCCAGCCGCCGCGGUAAUAC
rnacentral:rRNA from 1 species